rnacentral:rRNA from 1 species
GUCCUUGCCGUAAACGAUGCAUACUUGGUGUAGUUGGACUCAACCCCGACUGUGCCGAAGCUAACGCGAUAAGUAUGCCGCCUGGGGAGUACGCCCGCAAGGGUAAAACUCAAAAGAAUUGACGGGGACCCGCACAAGCAGUGGAGCAUGUGGUUUAAUUCGAUGCAACGCGAAGAACCUUACCCAGACUUGACAUCUAGUGGACGGACUCAGAAAUGAGUCUUCUCGUAUGAGUCGCUAGACAGGUGCUGCAUGGCUGUCGU